rnacentral:lncRNA from 1 species
UUUUUUAAUUUUUUUCUGAAUUAUACUAUUUCGAAAUUCAAACCCUAAACCCUGAAACAUCAAACUCUAAACCCUAAACCCCGAAACAUCAACUCAAAACCCUAAACCCUAAACCUUCAACUCUAAACCUUAAAACAUCAACUAUAAACCCUAAACCCUAAACCUCAACUCUAAACCCUAAACCAUCAACACUAAACCCUAAACUAUCAAUACUAAACUCUAAACCCUAAAAAGUAAACUCUAAACCCUAAACCCUAAAAAAUUAACCCUAAACCCUAAAAAAUCAACUCUAAACCCUAAACCCUGAACCUUCAACUCUAAACCCUAAACACUAAAUCCUAAACCCUAAACCCUAAACCUUAAAACCCUAGAGUUGAUGUUUUAGGGUUUAGAUUUGAAGAUUUAGAGUUUAGGGUUUACGUUUAGGGUUUAGAGUUGAUGUUUUAGGGUUUAGAUUUGAAGGUUUAGGGUUUUAGGGUUUAGGGUAUGAAUUUCAGAAAAAUAUAAGGUUUAGGGUUUAGGGUUUACGUUUAGGGUUUAGAGUUGAUGUUUUAGGGUUUUGAUUUGAAGGUUUAGGGUUUAGAGUUGAUGUUUCGUGGUUUAGGGUUUAGAGUUGAUGAUUUAGUGUUUAAAGUUGAUGUUUUAAGUUUAGAUUUAGGGUUUAGAGUUUACGUUUAGGGUUUAGAGUUGAUGUUUUAGGGUUCGGGGUUUAGAGUUGAUGUUUCGGGGUUUAGAGUUGAUGUUUCAUGGUUUAGGGUUUAGAGUUGAUGAUUUAGGGUUUAGAGUUGAUGUUUUAAGUUUAGAUUAGUUAACCAUAUGUUUUUUUUUUGUCAAAGGUAAUCAAAAGGUUAUAAAUGUCUUUUACC